CUGUUGAGCUUGACUAUAGUCUGACUUUAUGAAAUGACUUGAGAGGUGUAGGAUAAGUGAGAGCCGGUUCGCUGGCGGAAGUGAAAUACCACGACUUUUAAUGUUAUUUUACUUAUUCCGUGAGUAGGAGGCGGGGCCCGGCCCUUCCUUUGGACCCAAGGCCCGCCUAGCGGGCCGAUCCGGGCGGAAGACAUUGUUAGGUGGGGAGUUUGUGUUAGGACUCUAGCUAGGAGAG
rnacentral:rRNA from 15 species